GGACACGGUAGCGUGCACAUAUUACUUAGUACUUAUAUCCCACUUUGGUGGAAGUUGUUAAAUAGGUAAAUAUUGUUAGGUGCUUUGAGAAUCUGAUCAUUAGGCACUGCAGCCUGGAAUAAACUCAGGUAAACAGGCCAAACUAAGAUGUAAUGUCAAGAAGCAGGCAAGCACAUGAAGGCGGUUACUGCCUCUAUAAGGCCAAUGCCUUGAGAGAAGGUGUCCUGGAAUCAGCACAAAGAGAGAGUGCGAGCGAGAGCGAAUGCAUCAGGAUGGUUAUAACUAGUGAAGCAGCUGAAAGCCGGCCUUCAAGCUGAUCACAACCCUGCGAGACCCCUUUCAGGACCAUGGACAGCACUCAACCUGAAGCCACUGUCCGAUCAGAAACCUGCUUCUUCCAAUUUAUCCCUUCCACAGGGAACUGCUAUGAAAAUAAUCAGAACAUUGAAUUUUGCAACUCGACAACCGGGAAACGAGUUCUUACGUCAAGAACCACGAACUCUAUUUGAUUGGCGUCACUGUGAGCUAAACUCAUUUAGAAAUGGCAAAAGUCACUUAGGGAAUGUCUUGAUUUCUACGCUCUAGCACGCACUACUUUCACUUGGGACACAAGCUCAACGACAUUGUGAAAGUUGUAGGAUUUUACUUCUAUAUAAAUGUCGCAACUCUGCUGCUAUCCAUUUGGAAUCACAUCCUUCCAGAACUUGGAUUGAAGGGGGAAACAGUCAAGAACAUUCAAGAACUCUCGAAGUCAGCUCUAAUCCAAGACUUAGCUUGACAGCUUGUCAGGAUGAAUAAACUAGUCUUGGCAACAUCCCUAAUUGUGCUCGGUUUUCUUCCUGCGAAAGAGUCGCAUCCGAUAAUGAACGCCCACCGAUUUGACUCCUAUAGCAGUGCAGAGCCAGGGCUGGACCUGCAACCGUGGGAUCACAGCCUUCGCCUCCCGUUUCAACGGAACCUGUUCAAAGCACCUCCUGAUGACCCAAAGAC